AGUCCUACGGGGGGCAGCAGUGGGGAAUAUUGGGCAAUGGGCGCAAGCCUGACCCAGCAACGCCGCGUGAAGGAAGAAGGCUUUCGGGUUGUAAACUUCUUUUCUCAGGGACGAAGAAAGUGACGGUACCUGAGGAAUAAGCCACGGCUAACUACGUGCCAGCAGCCGCGGUAAUACGUAGGUGGCAAGCGUUAUCCGGAUUUAUUGGGUGUAAAGGGCGUGUAGGCGGGAGCGCAAGUCAGAUGUGAAAUCCCGCGGCUCAACCGCGGAACUGCAUUUGAAACUGUUUUUCUUGAGUACCGGAG
rnacentral:rRNA from 1 species